AGAUUGAACGCUGGCGGCAUGCUUUACACAUGCAAGUCGAACGGUAACAGGCCGCAAGGUGCUGACGAGUGGCGAACGGGUGAGUAAUAUAUCGGAACGUGCCCAGUCGUGGGGGAUAACGCAGCGAAAGCUGCGCUAAUACCGCAUACGAUCUAUGGAUGAAAGCGGGGGACCGUAAGGCCUCGCGCGAUUGGAGCGGCCGAUAUCAGAUUAGGUAGUUGGUGGGGUAAAGGCUCACCAAGCCAACGAUCUGUAGCUGGUCUGAGAGGACGACCAGCCACACUGGGACUGAGACACGGCCCAGACUCCUACGGGAGGCAGCAGUGGGAAUUUUGGACAAUGGGCGCAAGCCUGAUCCAGCAAUGCCGCGUGCAGGAAGAAGGCCUGGUGUAACUAGCUUUGUACGUAACGAAACGGUACCUGGUUAAUAGCCUGGGCGUAAUAGUACGGUACCGUAAACGAAAGUAAAGACACCGGACCGUAACUACGUAGUCCGAGCAGCCGA
rnacentral:rRNA from 1 species